rnacentral:rRNA from 1 species
GACGAACGCUGGCGGCGUGCUUAACACAUGCAAGUCGAACGGAAAGGCCCUGCUUUUGUGGGGUGCUCGAGUGGCGAACGGGUGAGUAACACGUGAGUAACCUGCCCUUGACUUUGGGAUAACUUCAGGAAACUGGGGCUAAUACCGGAUAGGAGCUCCUGCUGCAUGGUGGGGGUUGGAAAGUUUCGGCGGUUGGGGAUGGACUCGCGGCUUAUCAGCUUGUUGGUGGGGUAGUGGCUUACCAAGGCUUUGACGGGUAGCCGGCCUGAGAGGGUGACCGGCCACAUUGGGACUGAGAUACGGCCCAGACUCCUACGGGAGGCAGCAGUGGGGAAUAUUGCACAAUGGGCGGAAGCCUGAUGCAGCAACGCCGCGUGCGGGAUGACGGCCUUCGGGUUGUAAACCGCUUUCGCCUGUGACGAAGCGUGAGUGACGGUAAUGGGUAAAGAAGCACCGGCUAACUACGUGCCAGCAGCCGCGGUGAUACGUAGGGUGCGAGCGUUGUCCGGAUUUAUUGGGCGUAAAGGGCUCGUAGGUGGUUGAUCGCGUCGGAAGUGUAAUCUUGGGGCUUAACCCUGAGCGUGCUUUCGAUACGGGUUGACUUGAGGAAGGUAGGGGAGAAUGGAAUUCCUGGUGGAGCGGUGGAAUGCGCAGAUAUCAGGAGGAACACCAGUGGCGAAGGCGGUUCUCUGGGCCUUUCCUGACGCUGAGGAGCGAAAGCGUGGGGAGCGAACAGGCUUAGAUACCCUGGUAGUCCACGCUGUAAACGGUGGGUACUAGGUGUGGGGUCCAUUCCACGGGUUCCGUGCCGUAGCUAACGCUUUAAGUACCCCGCCUGGGGAGUACGGCCGCAAGGCUAAAACUCAAAGGAAUUGACGGGGCCCCGCACAAGCGGCGGAGCAUGCGGAUUAAUUCGAUGCAACGCGUAGAACCUUACCUGGGUUUGAUAUGGAUCGGGAGUGCUCAGAGAUGGGUGUGCCUCUUUUGGGGUCGGUUCACAGGUGGUGCAUGGCUGUCGUCAGCUCGUGUCGUGAGAUGUUGGGUUAAGUCCCGCAACGAGCGCAACCCUUGUUCACUGUUGCCAGCACGUUAUGGUGGGGACUCAGUGGAGACCGCCGGGGUCAACUCGGAGGAAGGUGGGGAUGACGUCAAGUCAUCAUGCCCCUUAUGUCCAGGGCUUCACGCAUGCUACAAUGGCUGGUACAGAGAGUGGCGAGCCUGUGAGGGUGAGCGAAUCUCGGAAAGCCGGUCUCAGUUCGGAUUGGGGUCUGCAACCCGACCUCAUGAAGUCGGAGUCGCUAGUAAUCGCAGAUCAGCAACGCUGCGGUGAAUACGUUCCCGGG